rnacentral:rRNA from 1 species
UGGGGGAUAUUGCACAAUGGGCGAAAGCCUGAUGCAGCGACGCCGCGUGGGGGAUGAAGGCUUUCGGGUUGUAAACCUCUUUCGCUAUCGAACAAGGCCCGCUUAGGGUGGGUUGAGGGUAGGUGGAGAAGAAGCGCCGGCUAACUACGUGCCAGCAGCCGCGGUAAUACGUAGGGCGCGAGCGUUGUCCGGAAUUAUUGGGCGUAAAGGGCUUGUAGGCGGCUUGUUGAGCCUGCUGUGAAAACGCGGGGCUUAACUUCGCGCGUGCAGUGGGUACGGGCAGGCUUGAGUGUGGUAGGGGUGACUGGAAUUCCAGGUGUAGCGGUGGAAUGCGCAGAUAUCUGGAGGAACACCGAUGGCGAAGGCAGGUCACUGGGCCAUUACUGACGCUGAGGAGCGAAAGCAUGGGUAGCGAACAGGA